AGUGAACGCUGGCGGUAGGCCUAACACAUGCAAGUCGAACGGCAGCACAGUAAGAGCUUGCUCUUACGGGUGGCGAGUGGCGGACGGGUGAGGCAUACAUCGGAAUCUACUUUUUCGUGGGGGAUAACGUAGGGAAACUUACGCUAAUACCGCAUACGACCUACGGGUGAAAGCAGGGGAUCUUCGGACCUUGCGCGAUUGAAUGAGCCGAUGUCGGAUUAGCUAGUUUGCGGGGUAAAGGCCCACCAAGGCAACGAUGCGUAGCUGGUCUGAGAGGAUGAUCGGCCACACUGGAACUGAGACACGGUCCAGACUCCUACGGGAGGCAGCAGUGGGGAAUAUUGGACAAUGGGCGCAAGCCUGAUCCAGCCAUACCGCGUGAGUGAAGAAGGCCUUCGGGUUGUAAAGCCCUUUUGUUGGGAAAGAAAAGCAGCAGGUUAAUACCCCGCUGUUCUGACGGUACCCAAAGAAUAAGCACCGGCUAACUUCGUG
rnacentral:rRNA from 1 species